rnacentral:rRNA from 1 species
CCCUUAGAUGUUCUGGGCCGCACGCGCGCUACACUGAUGCAUUCAACGAGUCUAAAACCUGCUCUGAUAGGGGUGGGUAAUCUUUUGAAUGUGCAUCGUGAUUGGGAUAGAUGAUUGCAAUUUUUCAUCUUCAACGAGGAAUGCCUAGUAAACGCAAGUCAUCAGCUUGCAUUGAUUACGUCCCUGCCCUUUGUACACACCGCCCGUCGCUCCUACCGAUUGAACGUUCCGGUGAGACCUUGGGAUUUGGUCUUUGAUACUUUAUUGUGUCGUUGACCGAAAAACUUGAGCAAACCUUAACGUUUAGAGGAAGGUGAAGUCGUAACA